rnacentral:lncRNA from 1 species
GUUUACCUCUCCAUAGGUAGUGGGUUCGAUACCCACGUGUAGCUUUGUUUUCUUUUGGUUUUUUAUUUCUUUUAGUAUUUUAUUUUCUUUUAGCAUUUUUUUUCCUUUUAAUAUUUUUUUUAUGUUUAUGUUAUGAUUGAUUUGUUUUCUUUUAAUUUCAUCAUUCAUUCAAAACCAUUUAAAACCAUAAAAAUCAUAUUUUUCUCGAUUUAAUAUCGAGCCCAUUUUUACACCCUCGUAAGUCGAUUGCUU